rfam:Serratia odorifera DSM 4582 contig00025, whole genome shotgun sequence.
CCUCGUAGUGCCGGUGCCGACCGGCGCUGCGAGGGCUUCUUUCCGUCUGCAACGAGGGUCUGCUCGUG